CGGAGGCAGCAGUGGGGAAUGUUCCACACUGGGGGAAACCCUGAUGCAGUAACGCCGCAUGAGUGAUGACGGCCUUCGGGUUGUAAAGCUCAAUAUUCAGGGACGAUAAUGACGGUACCUGAGGAGGAAGCCACGGCGAAUUACGUGCCAGCAGCCGCGGUAAUAUGUAGGUGGCGAGCGUUUUCCGGAUUUAUUGGGCGUAAAGGGAGCGUAGGCGGAUUUUUAAGUUAGAUGUGAAAUACCCGGGCUCAACCCGGGUGUGGCAUUUCAAACAGGAAGUCUGGAGUCCGGGGGGGGAGAAGGGAAUUCCUAGGGAAGCGGGGAAAUGGGUAGAGAUUGGGAAGAACACCGGUGGGGAGGGGGAUUUUUUGGCCGGAAAUGGACGGAGGGGC
rnacentral:rRNA from 1 species